rnacentral:rRNA from 1 species
UACGUAGGGUGCAAGCGUUAAUCGGAAUUACUGGGCGUAAAGCGUGCGCAGGCGGUGAUGUAAGACAGGUGUGAAAUCCCCGGGCUUAACCUGGGAACUGCGUUUGAAACUACGGAGCUAGAGUGCGGCAGAGGGGGGUGGAAUUCCACGUGUAGCAGUGAAAUGCGUAGAUAUGUGGAGGAACACCGAUGGCGAAGGCAGCCCCCUGGGCCGACACUGACGCUCAGGCACGAAAGCGUGGGGAGCAAACAGG